CCAGGACAAGAGAGGAGGAGGUGACUGGCGAUGCAGGGGACGAUGACGCAGCUGAAGCUGAAGGUGCAUCGUCCACACACACACAGCCAGGAGGACACGAGGCUGCAGGGACACCCAGAGGACCAGAGAUGAAAGGCAACUGUGAUUCUGAAGCUGAACCUGGUGCUGGUCCUUCAUCUGUGAACGCCGAGCCCCCUCAGACCAGUGACACUCCAGACCCGUUUGGAUCUGGGUACUUGGAUUACGUGUCGGACUCGCAGCUGAACACCAUCAUUCUGUCUGAGGAGGUGGAGAUGGAGAUAGAUGAUCUUGAUUGCCCAGAUCAUGAAGAUGCUACAGACCUGAUCUGUG